rnacentral:rRNA from 1 species
CACGUAGGCACCAAGCGUUGUCCGGAUUUAUUGGGCGUAAAGAGCUCGUAGGCGGUUCAGUAAGUCGGGUGUGAAAACUUUGGGCUUAACCCAAAGCGUGCAUCCGAUACUGCUGUGACUUGAGUUCGGUAGGGGAGUGGGGAAUUCCUAGUGUAGCGGUGAAAUGCGCAGAUAUUAGGAGGAACACCGGUGGCGAAGGCGCCACUCUGGGCCGAUACUGACGCUGAGGAGCGAAAGCGUGGGGAGCGAACAGG